GACGAACGCUGGCGGCGUGCUUAACACAUGCAAGUCGUACGGUAAGGCCCUUUCGGGGGUACACGAGUGGCGAACGGGUGAGUAACACGUGAGCAACCUGCCCACAACUUUGGGAUAACGCUAGGAAACUGGUGCUAAUACUGGAUAUGUGCUCCUGCUGCAUGGUGGGGGUUGGAAAGCUCCGGCGGUUGUGGAUGGACUCGCGGCCUAUCAGCUUGUUGGUGGGGUAGUGGCCUACCAAGGCGGCGACGGGUAGCCGGCCUGAGAGGGUGACCGGCCACAUUGGGACUGAGAUACGGCCCAGACUCCUACGGGAGGCAGCAGUGGGGAAUAUUGCACAAUGGGCGCAAGCCUGAUGCAGCAACGCCGCGUGCGGGAUGACGGCCUUCGGGUUGUAAACCGCUUUCAGCAGGGACGAAGCUUUUUGUGACGGUACCUGCAGAAGAAGCACCGGCUAACUACGUG
rnacentral:rRNA from 1 species